GGUUUGUGGCUCAGCGGUAGAGUGCUUGUCUAGCACUUGCGAGGCCCUGGGUUCGAUCCUCAGCACCA
rnacentral:tRNA from 1 species